rnacentral:rRNA from 1 species
GUGCCAGCAGCCGCGGUAAUACGAAGGGGACUAGCGUUGUUCGGAUUUACUGGGCGUAAAGCGCGCGUAGGCGGAUCGCUAAGUCAGGGGUGAAAUCCCAAGGCUCAACCUUGGAACUGCCUUUGAUACUGACGAUCUGGAGAUUGGGAGAGGUGAGUGGAAUUCCGAGUGUAGAGGUGAAAUUCGUAGAUAUUCGGAGGAACACCAGAAGCGAAGGCGGCUCACUGGCCCAAUACUGACGCUGAGGCGCGAAAGCGUGGGGAGCAAACAGGAUUAGAUACCCUGGUAGUCC